AAGUAAUCUUUCAUCCUCAGUUAGACCCUUAUCUUUUUGAAUGUAUGCAAGGAUUUGAAAUUCCUUUAUCAUGUCAAGGUAUGCCCAAUCUGUUUGACAAAUCCCAAGGACAUGGCUUUUGGAUGUGGUCAUCUGACAUGCAAGGAUUGUGGCGUCUCCAUAUCAUCAUGCCCUUUGUGCCGGCAGCCCAUAACAACUCGACUAAGACUAUAUUCUUGACUAGGUCGAGGUUACAGCUUGAAGCGGUGAACAAAGCUCAACCAGGUUAAAUCGCAUCCUGGAGGAAAAAUUCCUUGAAAUUGGAGGCUUGACGGUUCUAUUUGUAUUAUUGCCAUUGACAUUUACUUUGUUCAAUCAGUUCUACAAAGACGUACCGUACCCUGUGCAUGAGACAUUUGAGAUACUUUGUAUGCUACAUUGGCAACAUUUUUUAAAUGCAAUUUUACUUGUCAGAAUUUUGUUU